rnacentral:lncRNA from 1 species
GUUUAAGCUUUUAUACAAAAUCAUAUUCUGAAUUACAUAGGAUUUUCAAUAGAGGCUUUCAAAAUCAUAAUUUGAGAUAUGUAUCUUCCACAUUAUAGCUCAUCUUAAAUCAUUACGAUUGAAAACACAUAUUUCAAACAUAUAAGAGCAUAUUCAGAAUAUUUGUAUUUAUGUUGAGUUUUGGUACGAAUUAGAACAUUAUAUGCCAAAUUUAAGCAAGUUGAAGGAUAAAACAAACUCAAUUCAUUUUGCCUAAAUAGAGAUAUCCUUCUCUUCUCCUUUUUACAAAUUUUAUUCAUCUUUCAGAUUUUAACGAUGAU